CAUCAGAGUCAUAUACUGAAGUUAUCUUUUUUGUAACUUGAUUAACUUUUGUUUUGAAAAAUGUGAACCAAUUGCAACUACUCCAAAUUAAAUAUGAUAUCCUUACUAUGGUUUACCUUAAACUGCAUUUUAAAAGAAUGACUAUCUGCGGAAUUCGAAGUGGGAUUAAUUCAAUGAAAGAAUUUACAUUUGUAUGCAAUGUCAUUAACUAAAAUGUAGACUAUUAAAAAUACGCUAUAUAAAGUGCUUUACAAUACUGUGGAAAAAGAUCAAAUCCUCCAAGCAAUAAACACACACAAAGUAUCAGGUUUCUGAAACAGAUUAACCCCUUCUCUACCGUACCGGUCAAUUUGACCUGUGGCGCGUAAAAACGGGACAGCGCAAAAGGAGUGCCUCUAAAUCUUUCAAACUACGGUCAUAAGAUAUAUAAUCUAUAUAUCAUAUUUUUGGAAAUUUUCUCUAUUUUUUAACUAUGUAAAAAUCAGUUAAGUAAAUAAAGCUAUUAAAUUAAUAAAAGCAUUUAAAGCGAAAGAUAGCUUCGUCUAAAUAUGAGGCAACGCUUUGUCGAAAGGCCAUUUCCCCCCUCGAUACGAUUUUUUUAAUCUCCUGUAUGAAUGCACUAUUUUUUUUAUAUUUUUGAAAAGCAUAUAUUCCCUGCUUUCAGAACAUAUAAAAAUUAUUUCUAAUGCCUGGCAAAGUUAUAAGAAAAUAGCUAUUUUUUGCACAUGUACGCUUUCUUACAAUUUUAUUUCUCAAUGUUUAAACAGAUCGGCGUUUUACCAAUAUUCAUAUAUGGAAAUAGGGAAAAGUAAAUACAGCCUGUAAAAGUACAGGAAAUUUUCUUUUUGAUGGGCCCUUAUUCGUGUUGUAAUUCUUGUUAGUUUUUAUAUUACGAUAAAAUGAAAUUGGGACAUGCUGCGCGGUUUUCUUUAAAAUUAUCGAUAAAACGUCGGUGCUGAAAGCGAUCGACGCGCAUCGCACAAUAAAGUAGUGAAAACUAUUUGUAUUGUCCUCUGUUGGUAAUAUGGAUACUUUUUGAUACACUAAAACAAUAUACAUAUAUGUAUGAAAUAAUCAGCCAGGUAUUCUCUGCUUUAAAAAAAAAAAGAAGUAUAAAAACCAUUAUUGGUAAAUAACAGUUACACCACCUACUUGAAUUGUAACUUCAUAAAACACCUAAUGAGAAUGUUACAUCGGUAGAGUGAAUAAAAAAAAAUACUUCAAAUUCAGAUAUAAACGUUAUGUAAUAUUUAUUCGGUAUAGAAAUAAUUUUUUCUGCCAAACAAAGAAAACAAAAAGACCAGUCUGCAUAUUGUAUAUACAUGUAUAAUACUUUUCCCCCCGUGAUCCGGAUCGCGGCCGCGGGGUUUUCUGAAAGUGUCCACGGGCAACAUACGUGUUUCCGUUUCAAAAAACAACAACACAACAAACGCUUGUAUUGUAUUUUACAUCUUGAAAACGACCUGAUGUCAGAUGAAGAAGUCUGAAGAUACCUUGGAUAUCCUGUUGCAGGAUGACCCAAACGAUCAUGCAUUCAGUAUAAACAUGUUAUUGACAUCCCAAUAUUUAGUGGGAAGCUUCCAGGUAUCUUCCACUAGUGACAGUCUACUGGCAAAUCCAGACAUGCAUUGGAAGUAUGUUGAUGUGGAGGACACAGGGACACCUGAUCCAAGAACUGUGGCAUUUCAUUCGGAGUGACAACCUGGCAUGCAGUUGAUAUGGGACCUGAUUAUUCAGAGAAUUGCAGAUUUUAUGAAGCUGUUUUUGACAGAAGAUUUGGUUUUCUCCAUCUGUGUUGCCACCAACCAUUAUGCUGUGAUGGUCAUAUCUAGGGGGAAGGAUUGUCAUAUGCUUCCCAAGGAAGUUCGAAGCCUCUCACUGAAGAGGAAUGUACAGAUUUUUGGGCAUUAUCUUAUACAUGUCUGCUGAGAAGUUCCAGUCGAUAGACAGAUAUUGGUCAACGCAUGCCCCUAUCGGAACAACCUAGUAUCAAGAAUUAUGUCUAGAAAUAUGUUUUAAGAGGUUGAAUAUAAGAACAAAUUUUAUUAAAUAUAAUGCAAGUACAUUUAAAUUUAGUGAUUGAAAGUAAGUACUUGAACAUUCGUAUACAUGUACAAUGAACUUGAGGAGGAAAAACGGGCAUUAUUUUCGCAUAGCAUUUGAUAUCAUAAUGGUGUUGUUGCUUAGCAACCAAAUAUAUUUGAAUAUAAAAAAAUUGAUUUUUUUUAGAUUUUAAAGGGACUGGUUCACAAUUUUUGAUAAAAAUAUUUUUCAUUUUUGAUGUUAAACAUUAGAAAUAUAACUCAUUUAAUGUUGAUUGCCAAAAUUUUGACCUUCUGAAUGCAAGAAUGAAAGCAAUAUUUUAGCCUUAAAUAUGUGUUAUGUAAACAAAGACUCGAGUCUUUUUAGGUAAACAAACAAACAAGUGAAAUAUUGAUUUUGUAAUAUAAUGCAUCUUAAUUUUGCAUAGUCACAAAUUUUAACUUUUAGAUGACACAUUUCGCCUAAAAAAUGCUUGAAAUAUGAAAUAUAAAAUAAUACUUUGAUCGAUAUCCAUUUCUUUUGAAAAUUUCGUAAACAAUAGCAUACCGCAAUCUUUGUUUACAAAACAAAUAAUAAAUUCUCUAAAAUGAGCUUCUGUGAUGAUGUAUAACCUUAAUUUUCAUGUGAAAUCUUUCAAACACAUUAGACAGUAGAUUUUGAUCAUUAAAAGUGAAAAACAAAAUUUUGGGCAAAAUCGUGAAUCAGUCCCUUUAACAGGAAAGAUCUUUGUUUUAAUGUUGCAAUAUUUAUACUAUUUAGUGGGAUACAAUGGCAAAACGUCAUAUUAUUAGAAAAUGAUGAAUAUGUAUAUGAAGUACGAAAUUUUCAUUUUAUGACCUUUGACCUUAAUUCUCUUCAUUAUAUUUUUUGUUAAAAACCUUUUAAAAUGAUUAAGAUCUAGUCAAAGAUUAUAUUUUUAAAAUAAUGUGACAUUUACUAAUCAUCAUGGAAUGUAAUUAUGUUUGAAUUGUGUCGAAUGGAUGUAGAAAGGCAAAUUAUGGUCAAAAUUACACCAUGAGUGUUGUUACUUAGCAACCAAAAAUAUUUGUUUGUCAAUAAAAUUGAUUAAUUUGAU